GGCAAACUGUGUCCUAAAACUCUACUGCUUCGUGUUGUCUCCUUCCCUUUAGCGAGCUCGAGGUGAAGAAGAACGUUUGGUUUUAUCUCGGUCGUUAACGGAUAAUGUAGAAAAAAAGAUUUGGGAUAUCCAGUACUCAAAGACAAUAACUUAACUUUGAAGUGUUAACUAUUUUUAUAACUGCGUCGAGGUUUAUUCAACAUCCAACACAACAUGUUGUCUGCCCGACGACAGGCACAAAGGCCUGUAACUUCUACAGCCUCGGCGCGUUGGGAAAGUCGUCCCAGCUGAGUCUGCACAGGACGUCACUCUGUCGAGCUCCAAACAACAACUUCAUAGUUAUAGAGUCAAGAGGAGGAGCUGACCUGGAAGAUGAACAUGUCCUUUAGUACUGAGACAAGCAGCUUGAUCCAGAUGAACAGCAUCCAUCUUUUAAGAACCGGGUGGAUCUGCAGGACAGACAGAUGAAGGAUGGAGACGUGUCUUUGAUUCUGAGGGACAUCAUAACUGCAGAUGCUGGAAAAUACAAGUAUCGUGUCUUCAAGAGAGGAACAAGCCGGAGGGAGAGAGCCCUUUUUCAAGAAUGACCCCAUCAGCAUCAUCUACCUUCAUGUUGAUCCUCCAGGGAGAACUGAGGAUGUCAGUUAUGGACGAAUCAUCAACAAAUCAUCAUCAGAGAGAAGAGAAACAUUUAAAGAAAACCAUAGACUCGGAGGAAGAGGGUGGUCUGUACUUGGUGUCAGAGACAGAAAUGAGAAAAAGCUGAAAUGAGUGAGAAGGACGAUGAAGGAAACAUCUGUGCUGUGUCUGCUCUGUAAGUAGAAUCUCCUGCACUACAGAGCAGGUUUAUUAUACCCAGGGUAUGUUUCUGUUAUUCAGAUUAGUUUACAGUAACAUUGGUAAUCAGGAUAUUCUGUCAUAUGAAGCUUGUUAUCAACUCACUCAGUUAACCUGGAGUUUCCCUCCCUGCACCUCCACAAGUGCUGUUUUCACACAGUUAUGGAUAACAGUUGGUGGGAGGGUGAUGUGGGUCAGCCAUGAUGCUAGUGGCUUUCUGAAAGCAGUGUGUGGUAGGGCUCAUCUGCAUGAAUAAGAUGAGUUAAAGUUUAUAUAUUAGUCUUUAACAAUGAUUUAAAAGAAGACGCUGAUGAGGCGAGCCAGAUUUCUUCAGGCAGGUCAUCCCAGGAUGGAGGAGUCCUCACAGCAAACAUUCAGUCGUCUUUAAGUGUGAGCUGGGAACAGUGAACAGGUUUGUGCCUGCAGCAUCUCAGGAUGUACACACUGACUGGGACACAAGCACCAGUUCCAGUAAAUAUUCUGGUGCCAGUAAACUGUUAAGAUGGAGCAAUUUAAUCUUAUUUAAUCAGUUUAUUUUUCAUCCUGCAGUUAAAAUGUAUCAAAACAGGAUUGUGUGUCUCUGCAGAUGCUGUGUGAUCUGACACACCAGCACAAAAUGUGUCAAAGUUCACUAAGUUACAUUAUUGUAACUGUGAUGCGUUCACUGACAUGUCCUCAUGCUUUGCUGUAUAUAAAGAGAACAGAGAGGCUCUGCUUUGUGCUGAUAUUCUCCUCCUGUGUGUUUGUGUGUACAGAGUUUCUACCAGAGCCAAAUGUCAUCGACUCCUCACUGAAGUCGUCCACCAGUCCAACCACUGGAAUCCAGCUGCUGCUCUCUAACUGGUCCACACAGCAGCUCAGAGCUGACACAUUCACUGUAAACACACUGGUUUAUAUUCUGUUUGUUCUCCUCAUGAAGGAAACCUCACACAACCACUGAGGGCAGAAAGUUCAAAUGGAGAGUUUUUGUUAUUGUUUUCUUCUAUAAAGAAGCUCAAGAAAACUGUCCUUUCAGAAUAAAAGCAUGACCAAGACAUCAUGUCUACAUAAACAAUAAUAAAUGGUAUGUAACUAAAAUGUAGAUGUAAUCCAUGUUUUCAUGUCUUCAGUAACUUUGCUGUUAUUUCUAAGUGUGCUGUCGUCUCCACAGCAGUGAUCUGGUUUCUCUGCAGGUUCAAUAAACUUUGGUCUCACUUGA